CGUGAGUAACCUGCCCUUGACUCUGGGAUAAGCGUUGGAAACGACGUCUAAUACCGGAUACGAGCUAGGACCGCAUGGUCACUAGUUGGAAAGAAUUUCGGUCAAGGAUGGACUCGCGGCCUAUCAGCUAGUUGGUGAGGUAACGGCCCACCAAGGCGACGACGGGUAGCCGGCCUGAGAGGGUGACCGGCCACACUGGGACUGAGACACGGCCCAGACUCCUACGGGAGGCAGCAGUGGGGAAUAUUGCACAAUGGGCGCAAGCCUGAUGCAGCAACGCCGCGUGAGGGACGACGGCCUUCGGGUUGUAAACCUCUUUUAGCAGGGAAGAAGCGAAAGUGACGGUACCUGCAGAAAAAGCACCGGCUAACUACGUGCCAGCAGCCGCGGUAAUACGUAGGGUGCAAGCGUUGUCCGGAAUUAUUGGGCGUAAAGAGCUCGUAGGCGGUUUGUCGCGUCUGCUGUGAAAAUCCGAGGCUCAACCUCGGACCUGCAGUGGGUACGGGCAAACUAGAGUGCGGUAGGGGAG
rnacentral:rRNA from 1 species